UAGGGAAUCUUCGGCAAUGGACGAAAGUCUGACCGAGCAACGCCGCGUGAGUGAAGAAGGUUUUCGGAUCGUAAAACUCUGUUGGUAGAGAAGAACGUUGGUGAGAGUGGAAAGCUCAUCAAGUGACGGUAACUACCCAGAAAGGGACGGCUAACUACGUGCCAU
rnacentral:rRNA from 1 species